GCCCCAGUAGCUCAGUAGGUAGAGCACCUGCCUUUUAAGCAGGGUGUCCGGAGUUCGAAUCUCCGCUGGAGCACCA
rnacentral:tRNA from 1 species